GAUGAACGCUGGCGGCGUGCCUAAUACAUGCAAGUCGAGCGAACAGACGAGGAGCUUGCCCCUCUGACGUUAGCGGCGGACGGGUGAGUAACACGUGGAUAACCUACCUAUAAGACUGGGAUAACUUCGGGAAACCGGAGCUAAUACCGGAUAAUAUUUUGAACCGCAUGGUUCAAAAGUGAAAGACGGUCUUGCUGUCACUUAUAGAUGGAUCCGCGCUGCAUUAGCUAGUUGGUAAGGUAACGGCUUACCAAGGCAACGAUGCGUAGCCGACCUGAGAGGGUGAUCGGCCACACUGGAACUGAGACACGGUCCAGACUCCUACGGGAGGCAGCAGUAGGGAAUCUUCCGCAAUGGGCGAAAGCCUGACGGAGCAACGCCGCGUGAGUGAUGAAGGUCUUCGGAUCGUAAAACUCUGUUAUUAGGGAAGAACAAAUGUGUAAGUAACUAUGCACGUCUUGACGGUACCUAAUCAGAAAGCCACGGCUAACUACGUGCCAGCAGCCGCGGUAAUACGUAGGUGGCAAGCGUUAUCCGGAAUUAUUGGGCGUAAAGCGCGCGUAGGCGGUUUUUUAAGUCUGAUGUGAAAGCCCACGGCUCAACCGUGGAGGGUCAUUGGAAACUGGAAAACUUGAGUGCAGAAGAGGAAAGUGGAAUUCCAUGUGUAGCGGUGAAAUGCGCAGAGAUAUGGAGGAACACCAGUGGCGAAGGCGACUUUCUGGUCUGUAACUGACGCUGAUGUGCGAAAGCGUGGGGAUCAAACAGGAUUAGAUACCCUGGUAGUCCACGCCGUAAACGAUGAGUGCUAAGUGUUAGGGGGUUUCCGCCCCUUAGUGCUGCAGCUAACGCAUUAAGCACUCCGCCUGGGGAGUACGACCGCAAGGUUGAAACUCAAAGGAAUUGACGGGGACCCGCACAAGCGGUGGAGCAUGUGGUUUAAUUCGAAGCAACGCGAAGAACCUUACCAAAUCUUGACAUCCUCUGACCCCUCUAGAGAUAGAGUUUUCCCCUUCGGGGGACAGAGUGACAGGUGGUGCAUGGUUGUCGUCAGCUCGUGUCGUGAGAUGUUGGGUUAAGUCCCGCAACGAGCGCAACCCUUAAGCUUAGUUGCCAUCAUUAAGUUGGGCACUCUAAGUUGACUGCCGGUGACAAACCGGAGGAAGGUGGGGAUGACGUCAAAUCAUCAUGCCCCUUAUGAUUUGGGCUACACACGUGCUACAAUGGACAAUACAAAGGGCAGCGAAACCGCGAGGUCAAGCAAAUCCCAUAAAGUUGUUCUCAGUUCGGAUUGUAGUCUGCAACUCGACUAUAUGAAGCUGGAAUCGCUAGUAAUCGUAGAUCAGCAUGCUACGGUGAAUACGUUCCCGGGUCU
rnacentral:rRNA from 1 species